CCCAUACGGAGGAAAAGAAACCAACUGGGAUUACCUUAGUAACGGCGAGUGAAGCGGUAAAAGCUCAAAUUUGAAAUCUGGUACUUUCAGUGCCCGAGUUGUAAUUUGUAGAAUUUGUCUUUGAUUAGGUCCUUGUCUAUGUUCCUUGGAACAGGACGUCAUAGAGGGUGAGAAUCCCGUUUGGCGAGGAUACCUUUUCUCUGUAAGACUUUUUCGAAGAGUCGAGUUGUUUGGGAAUGCAGCUCAAAGUGGGUGGUAAAUUCCAUCUAAAGCUAAAUAUUGGCGAGAGACCGAUAGCGAACAAGUACAGUGAUGGAAAGAUGAAAAGAACUUUGAAAAGAGAGUGAAAAAGUACGUGAAAUUGUUGAAAGGGAAGGGCAUUUGAUCAGACAUGGUGUUUUUUGCAUGCACUCGCCUCUCGUGGGCUUGGGCCUCUCAAAAAUUUCACUGGGCCAACAUCAAUUCUGGCAGCAGGAUAAAUCAUUAAGAAUGUAGCUACUUCGGUAGUGUUAUAGCUUUUUGGAAUACUGUUAGCCGGGAUUGAGGACUGCGCUUCGGCAAGGAUGUUGGCAUAAUGGUUAAAUGCCGCCCGUCUA
rnacentral:rRNA from 1 species